CUUCUGUAGGUGAUUGCUAGUGAGAAUUAGUGCAACUAUGGUAUCAAGGUGGAUAUAAAGUUGUUUUAUGCAGUACAACCACUUUUAUUGAGGAUCUGAGCUGAUUAACACUUGUUGUAAGCUGUCCUCCUUUCCUGUGUUUGCAGUGGCAUUUCAGUGUGCUAUAGUGACAUUCCCUGACUGCAUCUUCCAAGGACUAGACCCUCAGGAAUUUCAAAGAAACAUCCACCCAGUGGCCCUUGGGUUUGGCUGAACUAACGCUGAAGGACAAGACGGUGUAUCAUGGUGCUUGCAGGGAAGGAAAGCUCACCCAGCAUCUGGGAAGCCAUCACAAGAAUAUAAAUAGAAUAAUAUCCUGUUCAUGCAGCUCUGAGUAAUACAUGCUCCACAUCGCACAGAACGAUCACUGGCAGUAAUUAUAUGAAAAGUAUUCUGUGUGCGUGGGCUGAUCUCUCAGGCUGACUUCUGGAGACCGUGCAGCAA